rnacentral:rRNA from 2 species
CGGGCGUCUUAACAUGCAAGUCGAACGAUUAAAGCACCUUCGGGUGUGUAUAAAGUGCGAACGGCUGAGUAACACGUGGGCAACCUGCCCCUUUCAUUGGGAUAGCCACGGGAAACCGUGGAUAAUACCGAAUACUUCGAGACUUCCGCAUGGAAGACUCGAGAAAGCUCCGGCGGAGAGGGAUGGGCCCGCGGCCUGUUAGCUUGUUGGUGGGGUAACGGCCUACCAAGGCAAUGAUGGGUAGCUGGGUUGAGAGACCGACCAGCCAGAUUGGGACUGAGACACGGCCCAGACUCCUACGGGAGGCAGCGUGGGGAAUCUUGCACAAUGGGCGAAAGCCUGAUGCAGCGACGCCGCGUGCGGGAUGAAGGCCUUCGGGUUGUAAACCGCUUUCAGCAGGGACGAGGCGAAAGUGACGGUACCUGCAGAAGAAGCCCGGU